rnacentral:rRNA from 1 species
CAGAGUUUGAUCAUGGCUCAGGAUGAACGCUGGCGGCGUGCUUAACACAUGCAAGUCGAACGAUGAUCCCAGCUUGCUGGGGGAUUAGUGGCGAACGGGUGAGUAACACGUGAGUAACCUGCCCUUGACUCUGGGAUAAGCCUGGGAAACUGGGUCUAAUACCGGAUAUGACUCCUCAUCGCAUGGUGGGGGGUGGAAAGCUUUUGUGGUUUUGGAUGGACUCGCGGCCUAUCAGCUUGUUGGUGGGGUAAUGGCCUACCAAGGCGACGACGGGUAGCCGGCCUGAGAGGGUGACCGGCCACACUGGGAUUGAGACACGGCCCAGACUCUUACGGGAGGCAGCAGUGGGGAAUAUUGCACAAUGGGCGAAAGCCUGAUGCAGCGACGCCGCGUGAGGGAUGACGGCCUUCGGGUUGUAAACCUCUUUCA